rnacentral:rRNA from 1 species
CUGAAUAACAAGGNUCCCCUAGUAGCGGCGAGCGAAGCGGGAAGAGCUCAAAUUUAUAAUCUGGCACCUUCGGUGUCCGAGUUGUAAUCUCUAGAAAUGUUUUCCGCGUUGGACCGCACACAAGUCUGUUGGAAUACAGCGGCAUAGUGGUGAGACCCCCGUAUAUGGUGCGGACGCCCAGCGCUUUGUGAUACAUUUUCGAAGAGUCGAGUUGUUUGGGAAUGCAGCUCAAAUUGGGUGGUAAAUUCCAUCUAAAGCUAAAUAUUGGCGAGAGACCGAUAGCGAACAAGUACCGUUGAGGGAAAGAUGAAAAGCACUUUGGAAAGAGAGUUAACAGUACGUGAAAUUGUUGGAAGGGAAACGCUUGAAGUCAGACUUGCUUGCCGAGCAAUCGGUUUUUUCCGGGAUGGAUAAUGGUAGAGAGAAGGUAGCAGUUUCGGCUGUGUUAUAGCUCUCUGCUGGAUACAUCUUGGGGGACUGAGGAACGCAGUGUGCCUUUGGGCGGGGGUUUCGACCCUCUUCACAACUUAGGAUUGCUGGUGGGAAUGGCUUUAAAACGAACCCCGUCUUGAAAACACGGGACCCAAGGAAGUUCUUAAACAAUGGCUUUGGCGAAGUUAUUUUGGGGUUGGUCCAAAACCCCGGGAAUUGCCGUUAAAUGGAAAA